rnacentral:rRNA from 1 species
UACGUAGGGGGCUAGCGUUGUCCGGAUUUAUUGGGCGUAAAGAGCUCGUAGGCGGUCUGUCGCGUCGGUCGUGAAAACUUGGGGCUUAACCCUGAGCUUGCGGUCGAUACGGGCAUGACUGGAGUUCGGCAGGGGAGACUGGAAUUCCCGGUGUAGCGGUGAAAUGUGUAGAGAUCGGGAGGAACACCGGUGGCGAAGGCGGGUCUCUGGGCAAUUCCUGACGCUGAGGCGCGAAAGCGUGGGGAGCAAACGGG